GCGCUGCAGCCGGGCGUGCAGCGUGGUGCGCUGCUGCUGCGCCCAGCUGACUGCGGCGUCGGUCGGGUUCACCGGCUCGGGCAGCGCC
rnacentral:tRNA from 2 species